AUUCUACUCCCUCCGUCCCAUAUUAAGUGACUUUCUAUUACAUGUAUCUAGACGCUUUUUAGAAAUAGAUACAUCCAUAUUUGAACAAAUUUGAGUCACUUAAUAUGGAACGUAGGGAGUAGUAU
rnacentral:pre_miRNA from 1 species